AUUGAACGCUGGCGGCAGGCCUAACACAUGCAAGUCGAACGAGUGGCGGACGGGUGAGUAAUGUCUGGGAAACUGCCUGAUGGAGGGGGAUAACUACUGGAAACGGUAGCUAAUACCGCAUACCAUCAGAUGUGCCCAGAUGGGAUUAGCUUGUUGGUGGGGUAACGGCUCACCAAGGCGACGAUCCCUAGCUGGUCUGAGAGGAUGACAAGCAACACGGGAAAUGAGACACGGUCCAGACUCCUACGGAAGGCAGAAUGGGGGAAUAUUGCACAAUGGGCGAAAGCCUGAUGCAGCCAGGCCGCGUGUAUGAAGAGGGCCUUCGGGUUGGAAAGUACGUUCAGCGGGGAGGCGUUAACCGCAGAAGAAGCACCGGCGAACUCCGGGCCAGCAGAGGCGGUAAUAC
rnacentral:rRNA from 1 species